CGAGAACUCAAUUGGACUUGCCACAUCCAAAAACUGGAGGUGAGAAAACUAAUAUUAAAGCCUUACGAGGUUCCGAUCGGCAUUCCGGGUGAUGAAUGUCUAUCGGGACAUCGCGGCGGUUGUCACGAGUUCGAGGAGAGUACCGGGUCGUGACAGCCAACUCAACCCAAAGCCCCCUUUCAAGCUCCCAAGACCCCAUUUUACAAGGAUUCAACCUUCCAAACUCCAAUCUAAGGUUGUGUUGAGCUCAUGAAUCAUAGAACGGGUGAGGUUUGACGAAGUAAGGCUUAGAAGCAUGCUUUUGUAAAGGGCUCAUCCCAACAUCUCCCACUAGCAUAAAGCCAAUUGCUACCUCAUCGUAUGUGGAUUCAAUUCCAUCUAGCAAUCGUGUCUCCAUGUAGACUCGCUUGUGCCAUUCAAUGUGGUUAAUUGCUUUUAUCUAUCUUUAUGAUGUCCAUGCAUCACAUUCUGUCAUAUUACUAUAUCUAGAUCCAAUGAGACCCAGGUUCUACUAUUAUGGCUCCAUUGUUACAUUAACAAUGUUCGAAAGCCUUUAUUAGUUCCAUGAACUAGCGAUCUAAAUAUCUUCCUAUUUGAGCCCUUUAUAAUAGGAUGUAUAUGACUUUAUUUAUAUAAACGUAUAAUCCCUUUUGCUUCUUGGGACCAUUCCAACUAGACUAUGUUGCAAGCAUCAUAUGCAUG